GAUGAAGCCUUUCGGGGUGGAUUAGUGGCGAACGGGUGAGUAACACGUGGGCAAUCUGCCCUGUACUUUGGGAUAAGCCUUGGAAACGGGGUCUAAUACCGGAUAUCACCAUUGAUCGCAUGGUCUUUGGUUGAAAGUUCUGGCGGUACAGGAUGAGCCCGCGGCCUAUCAGCUUGUUGGUGGGGUAAUGGCCUACCAAGGCGACGACGGGUAGCCGGCCUGAGAGGGUGACCGGCCACACUGGGACUGAGACACGGCCCAGACUCCUACGGGAGGCAGCACUGGGGAAUAUUGCACAAUGGGCGAAAGCCUGAUGCAGCGACGCCGCGUGAGGGAUGACGGCCUUCGGGUUGUAAACCUCUUUCGCCAGGGACGAAACGCAUGUGACGGUACCUGGAUAAAACACCGGCUACUCGUGCCAACAACCGCGGUCUACUAGGGUGCAGGCUUUGCCGGAAUUAUUGGCGUAAGACUCGUAGCGGUUGUCCGUCAGCUGUGAAUCUGGAGCUUACCUUCACGUGCAUCGAUCUGCAGACUUAGUCGGUAGAGAGCUGGAUUCUGGUGUACGGUGAAUGUCAGAAUCUGAGGACACCGUGCUAAGCGGUCUCUGGCGAUCUGAGCUGAGAGGAACCGGGGAGCGACAGAUAAAACCUGGAGUCACCUGUAACAUGGGGCUAGUGUGGCACUUCCCUUGUCCUACGUACUAAGCAUAAGGUCCUCCGGGAUACGCGCAAGCUAUAUCAAUGAUUACGG
rnacentral:rRNA from 1 species